rnacentral:rRNA from 1 species
GCCUACGAUCGGUAGCUGGUCUGAGAGGACGAUCAGCCACACUGGGACUGAGACACGGCCCAGACUCCUACGGGAGGCAGCAGUGGGGAAUAUUGGACAAUGGGCGCAAGCCUGAUCCAGCAAUGCCGCGUGUGUGAAGAAGGUCUUCGGAUUGUAAAGCACUUUCGACAGGGACGAUGAUGACGGUACCUGUAGAAGAAGCCCCGGCUAACUUCGUGCCAGCAGCCGCGGUAAUACGAAGGGGGCUAGCGUUGCUCGGAAUUACUGGGCGUAAAGGGCGCGUAGGCGGUGAGAUCAGUCAGGCGUGAAAUUCCUGGGCUUAACCUGGGGGCUGCGCUUGAUACGGUCAUGCUAGAGGGCAGAAGAGGGUCGUGGAAUUCCCAGUGUAGAGGUGAAAUUCGUAGAUAUUGGGAAGAACACCGGUGGCGAAGGCGGCGACCUGGUCUGUUACUGACGCUGAGGCGCGAAAGCGUGGGGAGCAAACAGGAUUAGAUACCCU